CUACACAUGCAGUCGAACGGUAACAGGAAGCAGCUUGCUGCUUUGCUGACGAGUGGCGGACGGGUGAGUAAUGUCUGGGAAACUGCCUGAUGGAGGGGGAUAACUACUGGAAACGGUAGCUAAUACCGCAUAACGUCGCAAGACCAAAGAGGGGGACCUUCGGGCCUCUUGCCAUCAGAUGUGCCCAGAUGGGAUUAGCUUGUUGGUGGGGUAACGGCUCACCAAGGCGACGAUCCCUAGCUGGUCUGAGAGGAUGACCAGCCACACUGGAACUGAGACACGGUCCAGACUCCUACGGGAGGCAGCAGUGGGGAAUAUUGCACAAUGGGCGCAAGCCUGAUGCAGCCAUGCCGCGUGUAUGAAGAAGGCCUUCGGGUUGUAAAGUACUUUCAGCGGGGAGGAAGGUGUUGUGGUUAAUAACCGCAGCAAUUGACGUUACCCGCAGAAGAAGCACCGGCUAACUCCGUGCCAGCAGCCGCGGUAAUACGGAGGGUGCAAGCGUUAAUCGGAAUUACUGGGCGUAAAGCGCACGCAGGCGGUCUGUUAAGUCAGAUGUGAAAUCCCCGGGCUCAACCUGGGAACUGCAUCUGAUACUGGCAGGCUUGAGUCUCGUAGAGGGGGGUAGAAUUCCAGGUGUAGCGGUGAAAUGCGUAGAGAUCUGGAGGAAUACCGGUGGCGAAGGCGGCCCCCUGGACGAAGACUGACGCUCAGGU
rnacentral:rRNA from 1 species